GACACGACCGUACCGCAAACCGACACUGGUGCGCGAGAUGAGUAUUCUAAGGCGCUUGAGAGAACUCAGGAGAAGGAACUCGGCAAAUUGACACCGUAACUUCGGAAGAAGGUGUGCCUUUAGUAGGUGAACCAUUUACUUGGGGAGCCCAAUGAGGCAGCAAAAAAUCGGUGGCUGCAACUGUUUAUUAAAAACACAGCACUCUGCUAAGACGAAAGUCGACGUAUAGGGUGUGACGCCUGCCCGGUGCUGGAAGAUUAAAUGAUGGGGUGCAAGCUCUUGAUUGAAGUCCCAGUAAACGGCGGCCGUAACGAUAACGGUCCUAAGGUAGCGAAAUUCCUUGUCGGGUAAGUUCCGACCUGCACGAAUGGCGUAAUGAUGGCCACACUGUCUCCUCCUGAGACUCAGCGAAGUUGAAAUGUUUGUGAUGAUGCAAUCUCCCCGCGGAAAGACGGAAAGACCCCAUGAACCUUUACUGUAGCUUUGUAUUGGACUUUGAACAGAUCUGUGUAGGAUAGGUGGGAGGCUUUGAAGUGUGGUCGCUAGAUCGCAUGGAGCCAACGUUGAAAUACCACCCUGGUGUGUUUGAGGUUCUAACCUAGGUCCAUUAUCUGGAUCGGGGACAGUGCAUGGUAGGCAGUUUGACUGGGGCGGUCUCCUCCCAAAGUGUAACGGAGGAGUUCGAAGGUACGCUAGGUACGGUCGGACAUCGUGCUAAUAGUGCAAUGGCAUAAGCGUGCUUAACUGCGAGACUGACAAGUCGAGCAGAUGCGAAAGCAGGACAUAGUGAUCCGGUGGUUCUGUAUGGAAGGGCCAUCGCUCAACGGAUAAAAGGUACUCUGGGGAUAACAGGCUGAUACCGCCCAAGAGUUCAUAUCGACGGCGGUGUUUGGCACCUCGAUGUCGGCUCAUCUCAUCCUGGGGCUGUAGCCGGUCCCAAGGGUAUGGCUGUUCGCCAUUUAAAGAGGUACGUGAGCUGGGUUUAAAACGUCGUGAGACAGUUUGGUCCCUAUCUUCCGUGGGCGCUGCAGAUUUGAGGAAGCCUGCUCCUAGUACGAGAGGACCGGAGUGGACGAACCUCUGGUGUAUCGGUUGUCACGCCAGUGGCAUUGCCGAGUAGCUAAGUUCGGAAGAGAUAACCGCUGAAAGCAUCUAAGCGGGAAACUCGUUUCAAGAUUAGAUCUGCCGGGGCCUUGAGCCCCCUAAAGAGUCGUUCAAGACCAGGACGUUGAUAGGUCAGGUGUGGAAGC
rnacentral:rRNA from 1 species